rnacentral:rRNA from 1 species
UACGAAGGGGGCUAGCGUUGCUCGGAAUCACUGGGCGUAAAGCGCACGUAGGCGGCUUCUUAAGUCAGGGGUGAAAUCCUGGAGCUCAACUCCAGAACUGCCUUUGAUACUGAGAGCUUGAGUCCGGGAGAGGUGAGUGGAACUGCGAGUGUAGAGGUGAAAUUCGUAGAUAUUCGCAAGAACACCAGUGGCGAAGGCGGCUCACUGGCCCGGUACUGACGCUGAGGUGCGAAAGCGUGGGGAUCAAACAGG